rnacentral:rRNA from 1 species
UUGUUAAGGAACUCGGCAAAUUGACCCCGUAACUUCGGGAGAAGGGGUGCUCUAGAGAUAGAGCCGCAGAGAAUCGGCCCAAGCAACUGUUUACCAAAAACACAGGUUUGUGCUAAAUCGAAAGAUGACGUAUACGAGCUGACGCCUGCCCGGUGCUGGAAGGUUAAGAGGAGAUGUGCAAGCAUUGAAUCGAAGCCCCAGUAACGGCGGCCGUAACUAUAACGGUCCUAAGGUAGCGAAAUUCCUUGUCAGGUAAGUUCUGACCCGCAUGAAAGGCGUAAUGAUUUGGGCACUGUCUCGACAGCCCGCCCGGCGAAAUUGCAGUACCGGUGAAGAUGCCGGUUACCCGCGACAAGACGGAAAGACCCCAUGGAGCUUUACUGUAGCCUAAUAUUGGGUUUCGAUGUUGCAUGCACAGGAUAGAUGGGACACUGGGAAGCAAGUGCUUUGGCAUUUGUGGAGUGGCCGUUGGGAUACCAUCCUUGCGAUAUUGGAAUUCUAACCUGCGCCUUUGAAUCAAGGCGGGGGACAUUGUUAGGUGGGCAGUUUGACUGGGGCGGUCGCCUCCUAAAGAGUAACGGAGGCGUUCAAAGGUUCGCUCAGCUUGAACGGAAAUCAAGCAAAAGAGUGCAAACGCAGAAGCGAGCCUAACUGCGAGACUGACGGGUCGAGCAGUAACGAAAGUUGGAGUUAGUGAUCCGGUGGUAUGUGAGUGGAAAUGCCAUCGCUCAACGGAUAAAAGUUACCCUGGGGAUAACAGGCUGAUCUCCCCCAAGAGUCCACAUCGACGGGGAGGUUGGCACCUCGAUGUCGGCUCAUCGCAUCCUGGGGCUGUAUUCGGUCCCAAGGGUUUGGCUGUUCGCCAAUUAAAGCGGUACGCGAGCUGGGUUCAGAACGUCGUGAGACAGUUCGGUCCCUAUCUGUCGUGGGCGCAGGAUAUUUGAUGGGAGCUGUUCCUAGUACGAGAGGACCGGAGCGGACGAACCUCUGGCGCACCAGUUGUUCUGCCAAGGGCAUAGCUGGGCAACUAUGUACGGAUCGGAUAAACGCUGAAAGCAUCUAAGCGUGAAGCCGACCCAAAGAUAAGAUAUCCCAUUGUUUCAAACAAGUAAGACCCCUUGAAGACUACAAGGUUGAUAGGCAUGAUGUGUAAGUGGAGUGAUCCAUUCAGCAAGCAUGUACUAAUAGGUCGAGGGCUUGACC